rnacentral:rRNA from 1 species
AGACCCGAAACCCGGUGAUCUAGCCAUGGGCAGGUUGAAGGUUGGGUAACACUAACUGGAGGACCGAACCGACUAAUGUUGAAAAAUUAGCGGAUGACCUGUGGCUGGGGGUGAAAGGCCAAUCAAACCGGGAGAUAGCUGGUUCUCCCCGAAAGCUAUUUAGGUAGCGCCUCGUGAAUUCAUCUCCGGGGGUAGAGCACUGUUUCGGCUAGGGGGCCAUCCCGGCUUACCAACCCGAUGCAAACUGCGAAUACCGGAGAAUGUUAUCACGGGAGACACACGGCGGGUGCUAACGUCCGUCGUGAAGAGGGAAACAACCCAGACCGCCAGCUAAGGUCCCAAAGUCAUGGUUAAGUGGGAAACGAUGUGGGAAGGCCCAGACAGCCAGGAUGUUGGCUUAGAAGCAGCCAUCAUUUAAAGAAAGCGUAAUAGCUCACUGGUCGAGUCGGCCUGCGCGGAAGAUGUAACGGGGCUAAACCAUGCACCGAAGCUGCGGCAGCGACACUGUGUGUUGUUGGGUAGGGGAGCGUUCUGUAAGCCUGUGAAGGUGUGUCGUGAGGCAUGCUGGAGGUAUCAGAAGUGCGAAUGCUGACAUAAGUAACGAUAAAGCGGGUGAAAAGCCCGCUCGCCGGAAGACCAAGGGUUCCUGUCCAACGUUAAUCGGGGCAGGGUGAGUCGACCCCUAAGGCGAGGCCGAAAGGCGUAGUCGAUGGGAAACGGGUUAAUAUUCCCGUACUUGGUGUUACUGCGAAGGGGGGACGGAGAAGGCUAUGUUGGCCGGGCGACGGUUGUCCCGGUUUAAGCGUGUAGGUGUGUGUUCCAGGUAAAUCCGGUUCACUUUAACACUGAGGCGUGACGACGAGGCACUACGGUGCUGAAGCAACAAAUGCCCUGCUUCCAGGAAAAGCCUCUAAGCAUCAGGUAACAUCAAAUCGUACCCCAAACCGACACA